GACCUAGUGGCGAAAUGUAUCGCACCUGCAAUCCAUUAGGACUGUGAGAAGUCAUUAAAACUUGAUCGCAGAAGUUGGAUCCUGGUUCGAAUCCAGGCUAGGUCA